UACGGAGGGGGCUAGCGUUGUUCGGAAUUACUGGGCGUAAAGCGCGUGUAGGCGGGUCCUUAAGUCGGGGGUGAAAGCCCGGGGCUCAACCUCGGAACUGUCUUCGAUACUGAGGACCUGGAGUCUGGGAGAGGUGAGCGGAAUUCCGAGUGUAGAGGUGAAAUUCGUAGAUAUUCGGAGGAACACCAGAGGCGAAGGCGGCUCACUGGACCAGUACUGACGCUGAGACGCGAAAGCGUGGGGAGCAAACAGG
rnacentral:rRNA from 1 species